CCGGAGCUAAUACCGGAUAAUAUUUUGAACCGCAUGGUUCAAAAGUGAAAGACGGUCUUGCUGUCACUUAUAGAUGGAUCCGCGCUGCAUUAGCUAGUUGGUAAGGUAACGGCUUACCAAGGCAACGAUGCAUAGCCGACCUGAGAGGGUGAUCGGCCACACUGGAACUGAGACACGGUCCAGACUCCUACGGGAGGCAGCAGUAGGGAAUCUUCCGCAAUGGGCGAAAGCCUGACGGAGCAACGCCGCGUGAGUGAUGAAGGUCUUCGGAUCGUAAAACUCUGUUAUUAGGGAAGAACAUAUGUGUAAGUAACUGUGCACAUCUUGACGGUACCUAAUCAGAAAGCCACGGCUAACUACGUGCCAGCAGCCGCGGUAAUAUGUAGGUGGCAAGCGUUAUCCGGAAUUAUUGGGCGUAAAGCGCGCGUAGGCGGUUUUUUAAGUCUGAUGUGAAAGCCCACGGCUCAACCGUGGAGGGUCAUUGGAAACUGGAAAACUUGAGUGCAGAAGAGGAAAGUGGAAUUCCAUGUGUAGCGGUGAAAUGCGCAGAGAUAUGGAGGAACACCAGUGGCGAAGGCGACUUUCUGGUCUGUAACUGACGCUGAUGUGCGAAAGCGUGGGGAUCAAACAGGAUUAGAUACCCUGGUAGUCCACGCCGUAAACGAUGAGUGCUAAGUGUUAGGGGGUUUCCGCCCCUUAGUGCUGCAGCUAACGCAUUAAGCACUCCGCCUGGGGAGUACGACCGCAAGGUGAAACUCAAAGGAAUUGACGGA
rnacentral:rRNA from 1 species